UAUGUAACAUUUUGCCAACUCUUUUCUCGUACUCUUCUCUUUUUUACAUAUAUAAGCUAAAGAGAGAAACCUUGUCUAGAUAGAACAAUCAACAAGCAUGAGUUCAUGAGAUUCCGUCGGUUUCAUAGUUUUAACAUAUAAGCAAUUGCAGGUAUGUGUUGUUGCCACAACUCUUUAACCUCACACUUUUUUAUUUUUAUUUUUAUAUAUAUAUAAGCUAAAGAAAGAAACUGUCUUGACAGAACAAGCUGCAAGCUUGAGCUCUUGAAAUUCAGCUGGUUUCAUAGUUAGAACAUACAAGCAAUUCGCUCGUAACCUUAUCUAUCUUUCCUUGGAUAAUUUCGCGUCGCCUUUUAAAAUUCCUUAGCAAUCCCAGAUCUCUCUUAUGGUUUUAGACUCAGUUUUUGUUAUUAAACUAUAGAAAUUGCUCAUGGUUUUUUUUUACUCUAAAACUAACAACUUCUUGAGUUGCACGGAGAAGUUUUCUCAUCGAUUUGUAUACAUGCUAAACUCGGCUUGACUCAAUAUAUUGAUAUGAAAACUUGUAAUCCGAACCCAAACCCUAAUCCGAGCUAGAUUUUGAAUUAAACUGGAAAAAAUAUCGAUUCCGAUUGAUUCCAUCUAAGUUCGGACAAGAAAAAAAAUGAAUUCGUUUUAAUAAAAACAACUUAAACUCAAUUAACCCGAUAACUCGUAUGUUGACUCAUCACUCUAAUGACAUAUAUAUACUUUCCCAUAUCAAUCCUUGUAACCGAUCUGGUUCUAUGGCUCAUUAUGUCCCUCACGGGUUCUCCUAAAGUGAAAAAGAUCACCAUCAUAAAGAAAGGCAUUUUGCUAUCUUCCUCAUAAAAAUAAAAAUAGCAAAAUCCCCUGUGGCCCACCAAAUGUUUCUGAUAUAUAAAAAUUAAAAUAGGUUUCUGAUAUUUUUAUGACCUUGUGGCCCCCCAAAUGUUUCUGAUAUUUUUAUGACCUUGUGGCCCACCAAAUGUUUCUGAUAUUUUUAUGAGUUGCCACGCUUACAUUAAGUGACUGUUUCAAUGUGAUAAUCAGACGGUUGAGGUGAAGGUCCGCUUAGACUGUGAAGGAUGUGAGCGCAAAGUGAAGAGAUCACUCGAG
rnacentral:lncRNA from 1 species